AUCCUGGUGCACGGGUUUUACACGUAUCAGUGAGGAGACAUCCGAGAUCGUGUUUUUGCUAGUUGAAAACUACCUAUUUGACUGCUCCAGUUGGUCUUCGGAUCGGCUGGGAAUUUUUGAAGAAAAAGGUU
rnacentral:snRNA from 18 species